GUCUACGGCCAUGCCACCCUGAACGAGCUCAAUCUUUGUCUGAUCUCGGAAGCUAAGCAAGGAUCAGGCCUGGUUAGUACUUGGUUAGGAGACCACCUAGGAAGACCAGGUGUUGUAGUGU
rnacentral:rRNA from 1 species